rnacentral:rRNA from 1 species
UGCAAGUCGAGGGGUAUAGUUCUUCGGAGCUAGAGACCGGCGCACGGGUGCGUAACGCGUAUGCAAUCUACCUUUCACAGAGGGAUAGCCCAGAGAAAUUUGGAUUAAUAUCUCAUAGUAUUACGACUUGGCAUCAAGAUGUAAUUAAAGAUUUAUCGGUGAAAGAUGAGCAUGCGUCCCAUUAGCUAGUUGGUAUGGUAACGGCAUACCAAGGCAACGAUGGGUAGGGGUCCUGAGAGGGAGAUCCCCCACACUGGUACUGAGACACGGACCAGACUCCUACGGGAGGCAGCAGUGAGGAAUAUUGGACAAUGGGCGCAAGCCUGAUCCAGCCAUGCCGCGUGCAGGAUGACUGCCCUAUGGGUUGUAAACUGCUUUUAUACAGGAAGAAACCCUACCACGUGUGGUAGAUUGACGGUACUGUAGGAAUAAGGAUCGGCUAACUCCGUGCCAGCAGCCGCGGUAAUACGGAGGAUCCAAGCGUUAUCCGGAAUCAUUGGGUUUAAAGGGUCCGUAGGCGGUUUUAUAAGUCAGUGGUGAAAUCUUUCGGCUCAACCGAGAAAUGGCCAUUGAUACUGUAAGACUUGAAUUAUUAUGAAGUAACUAGAAUAUGUAGUGUAGCGGUGAAAUGCUUAGAUAUUACAUGGAAUACCAAUUGCGAAGGCAGGUUACUAAUAAUUGAUUGACGCUGAUGGACGAAAGCGUGGGUAGCGAACAGGAUUAGAUACCCUGGUAGUCCACGCCGUAAACGAUGGAUACUAGCUGUUGGGCGCAAGCUCA